rnacentral:misc_RNA from 1 species
AAGUCGUAACAAGGUUUCCGUAGGUGAACCUGCGGAAGGAUCAUUAUCAUCCUUUUUUUUUUGGUUAUUGGCAACAGUAACCAAAAAAAUAUAAACCAAUCGUGAACCGUACUGCCUCCAAUGAAGACUUUUUCUGCAAACGUGUCAUUUUUUCUUUGGUACGCCCAAGGAAAGAGAGCACAAUUGUAGAAAAAUAUUGAGCAACAUGAUGGGAAAACUAACAUUUUUUCCGUUCAUGACACCUCUCUUCAUUGGUUGUAUUUCUUUUAUUUUUUUACCAUUUGAACAACUCACUUCAAAAAACAAUUGAACUGAAUUGUUCUCAAUUGCUGUUUUUUCGGCUCAUCAGCCAAAAAAACCCAUUGAGAAUUACAAAUGUAUAAAAAGAAAAACAAAAAACAACUCUUAGCAACGGAUAUCUUGGUUCUC